rnacentral:rRNA from 1 species
GAAAACUUUUAAACGGCCGCGGUAUUCUAACCGUGCAAAGGUAGCGUAAUCACUUGUCUUCCAAAUAAAGACCAGUAUGAACGGCUAAAUGAGGACAAACCUGUCUCCUACAACCAAUCAGUGAAACUGAUCUCCCAGUACAAAAGCUGGGAUAACAACAUUAGACGAGAAGACCCUGUGGAGCUUAAAACACACCUAGUACAAACAAAUAACUAGCAUAAGUUUUGAGUUGGGGCGACUUCGGAAAAAAACAAAACUUCCGAGCACAGAACCACCAGUUCUAACCGAGGCAAACAGGCCAAAGCAAAAUUUGACCCAGUCCACACUGAUCAACGAACCAAGUUACCCCAGGGAUAACAGCGCUAUCCUCUUCAAGAGCCCAUAUCGACAAGAGGGUUUACGACCUCGAUGUUGGAUCAGGGCACCCCAAUGGUGCAACCGCUAUUAAAGGUUCGUUUGUUCAACGAUUAACAGCCCUACGUGAUCUGAG